AAUGAACGCUGGCGGCGCGCCUAAUACAUGCAAGUCGAGCGAGAAGACGUAGCAAUACGUUUGUAAAGCGGCGAACGGGUGAGGAAUACAUGGGUAACCUACCCUCGAGUGGGGAAUAACUAGCCGAAAGGUUAGCUAAUACCGCGUACGCUCCUUGGACUUCGGUUCAGGGAGGAAAGCGAUACCGUGGGUAUCGCGCUCUUGGUUGGGCUCAUGUCCUAUCAGCUUGUUGGUGAGGUAACGGCUCACCAAGGCUUCGACGGGUAGCUGGUCUGAGAGGACGAUCAGCCACACUGGCACUGCGACACGGGCCAGACUCCUACGGGAGGCAGCAGUAAGGAAUAUUGCGCAAUGGGCAAAGCCUGACGCAGCAACGCCGCGUGGGGGAUGACGGCCUCGGUU
rnacentral:rRNA from 1 species